CUAAGAAUCUUCCACAAUGGACGGAAGUCUGAUGGAGCGACGCCGCGUGGACGAUGAAGGCCGUGAGGUUGUAAAGUCCUUUUCGGGAGGGGGAAUAACCCGGGGAGGGAAUGCCCCGGGGAUGACGUGAAUCCCGGAAUAAGCCCCGGCUAACUACGUGCCAGCAGCCGCGGUAAUACGUAGGGGGCGAGCGUUGUUCGGAAUCAUUGGGCGUAAAGGGUGCGCAGGUGGUCCGGCAAGUCUGGCGUUAAAGUGCGGGGCUCAACUCCGUGAUGCGCUGGAAACUGUCGGGCUUGAGUACAGCAGGGGGCGUCGGAAUUCCAGGUGUAGGGGUGAAAUCUGUAGAUAUCAGGAAGAACACCGAUGGCGAAGGCAGGUUUCCAGCAGACGACUGACGCUGAGGUGCGAAGGUGCGGGGAGCAAACAGGAUUAGAUACCCUGGUA
rnacentral:rRNA from 1 species